rnacentral:rRNA from 1 species
AACCACUGCUAUUGGGGUUCGAUUAAGCCAUGCGAGCGGAGGGCAGUUCGGCUGCCCCGCGGACGGCUCAGUAACACGUAGUCAACCUACCCUUGGGUCGGGGAUAACCCCGGGAAACUGGGGAUAAUCCCCGAUAGGUGGGGGUACUGGAAAAGUCCCUCUCCCAAAGCUCCGGCGCCCAAGGACGGGACUGCGGCCCAUCAGGUAGUUGGCGGGGUAACGGCCCACCAAGCCGACAACGGGUACGGGCUGCGAGAGCAGGAGCCCGGAGAUGGAGACUGAGACAAGGCUCCAGGCCCUACGGGGCGCAGCAGGUGCGAAAACUUCGCAAUGCGUGCAAGCGUGACGAGGGAAUCCCAAGUGCCGAUGGUUUUUCUGAUCGUCGGCUUUUCAAGAGUUUAAAUCGCUCUUGGAAUAAGAGCUGGGUAAGACUGGUGCCAGCCGCCGCGGUAACACCAGCAGCUCAAGUGGUGGUCGCGAUUAUUGGGCCUAAAGCGUCUGUAGCCGGGCCAGUAAGUCCCCUGUGAAAUCGGACGGCUCAACCGUUCGGCGUGCAGGGGAAACUACAGGUCUUGAGGCCGGGAGACGUCGAGGGUACUCCGGGGGUAGCGGUGAAAUGCUGUAAUCCCUGGGGGACCACCAGUGGCGUAGGCGCUCGACGAGAACGGACCUGACGGUGAGGGACGAAAGCUGGGGGAGCGAACCGGAUUAGAUACCCGGGUAGUCCCAGCUGUAAAGUAUGUGGGCCAGGUGUAGGGCGCUCCACGAGGGCGCCCGGUGCCGUAGGGAAGCCGUUAAGCCCACCGCCUGGGAAGUACGGCCGCAAGGCUGAACUUAAAGAAAUUGGCGGGGGAGCACCACAAGGGGUGGAGCCUGCGGUUU